CUACGGGCCGCUGCAGUGAGGAAUUUUGCGCAAUGGGGGAAACCCUGACGCAGCAACGCCGCGUGAGUGAUGAAGGCCUUCGGGUCGUAAAGCUCUGUCAAGUGGGAAGAAAACACAAAAUGCCAAUACCAUUUUGUACUGACGGUACCACUGAAGGAAGCACCGGCUAACUCCGUGCCAGCAGCCGCGGUAAUACGGGGGGUGCAAGCGUUAUUCGGAAUUAUUGGGCGUAAAGCGCACGUAGGCGGCCGCUUAAGUCAGAUGUGAAAGCCCGGGGCUCAACCCCGGAAGUGCAUUUGAAACUAAGUGGCUUGAGUAUGGGAGAGGGAAGUGGAAUUCCUGGUGUAGAGGUGAAAUUCGUAGAUAUCAGGAGGAACACCGGUGGCGAAGGCGACUUCCUGGACCAAUACUGACGCUGAGGUGCGAAGGCGUGGGGAGCAAACAGGAUUAGAUACCCGUGUAGUC
rnacentral:rRNA from 1 species